AACAGUAUGAAAUUGUAUUACGACUGUUCUGUCUCGCCAACUGUUGUAUUAUAUUUAUAUUACUAUUUUAUUGUUGUUGUCCCAUUGUACACCGAUAUGUGUUGAAGGCAAUGAAUAGAAUCUGCAAGGACAUGAAAAGAUAAUAUUUUUUGUGGAUUAAGGACAAUUUUACUUUAAUUUCAUAUGUACUUGUAAUUUAUAUAAUAGGCCAA
rnacentral:lncRNA from 1 species